rnacentral:rRNA from 1 species
GAUCCUGGCUCAGGACGAACGCUGGCGGCGUGCCUAACACAUGCAAGUCGAACGGAAGUUAGAGCUUCGGUUUUAACUUUAGUGGCGAACGGGUGAGUAACGCGUGAGGAACCUGCCUUUCAGUGGGGGACGAACAGUUGGAAACGACUGCUAAUACCGCAUGACACUUUUGGGAGACAUCUCCUGGAAGUCAAAGCUUUAUGUGCUGAAAGAUGGCCUCGCGUCUGAUUAGCUGGUUGGUGAGGUAACGG